AUGUGUGGAGGAGUGCCAAACCGGUGAUUUGGCCAAGAAGACCAGUAUUCGAGUGCAGAGAUGCUUGCUACAUCUCCUACCUGGCGUUCUUUUCUUUCCUUGUUUCCAGCAGUGUCUAGAUAUCUCAAUGAGGGCAUACGGCGAGAGGAGUGAGACCCAUCUUCUUUGAGGUCGGUGGGCACCUCUCAUGCAGGUGGAUAUUGAGCUUCUGUGAGAAUUUUGUCCUUUGCUGGAGUGUGGUCGUCUUGAUA
rnacentral:lncRNA from 1 species